rnacentral:tRNA from 1 species
GCCCAAGUGGCGGAAUGGUAGACGCAGGGGAUUCAAAAUCCCCCGCCCUAACGGGCGUGCCGGUUCGAGUCCGGCCUUGGGUACCA